GACGAACGCUGGCGGCGUGCCUAAUACAUGCAAGUUGAGCGCUGAAGGUUGGUACUUGUACCGACUGGAUGAGCAGCGAACGGGUGAGUAACGCGUGGGGAAUCUGCCUUUGAGCGGGGGACAACAUUUGGAAACGAAUGCUAAUACCGCAUAAAAACUUUAAACACACGUUUUAAGUUUGAAAGAUCCAAUUGCAUCACUCAAAGAUGAUCCCGCGUUGGAUUAGCUAGUUGGUGAGGUAAAGGCUCACCAAGGCGAUGAUACAUAGCCGACCUGAGAGGGUGAUCGGCCACAUUGGGACUGAGACACGGCACAAACUCCUACGGGAGGCAGCAGUAGGGAAUCGUCGGCAAUGGACGAAAGUCUGACCGAGCAACGCCGCGUGAGUGAAGAAGGUUUUCGGAUCGUAAAACUCUGUUGGUAGAGAAGAACGUUGGUGAGAGUGGAAAGCUCAUCAAGUGACGGUAACUACCCAGAAAGGGACGGCUAACUACGUGCCAGCCGCCGCAGUAA
rnacentral:rRNA from 1 species